CAGCGAGUCGUCUACUUGUAGUCCUGAUUCUGUCUGCAAAAAGCCACAAAGGAUGAAGACACUGAGAUUCAAAGACUGAAGAGGCUGCCCAAGCUCUCAGAGCUGCUGAGGAGCAGUUAACAGAUUAUCCUUGUUUUAUUGAUAGAAUAUUUCUGCUCAGUUUUGCAGAGUGGAGGUAGUUUCUGUUUUAGUAUAAAAGCGAACUGAGGGACUAUGUACUUCCACAUCAACUCCACAGACCAAGCAGCUGAUUAGCCAACACAAGAGAUUGGACCAGAAACACAGUAACAGUCAGCUACCCCUGAAAAUGGCAACACUUUCAAGAAAGAACUGGAGAAACUUAGAGGUA